UGGGGAAUAUUGGGCAAUGGGCGAAAGCCUGAUCUAGCCAUGCCGCGUGUGUGAAGAAGGUCUUCGGAUUGUAAAGCACUUUAAGUUGGGAGGAAGGGCAUUAACCUAAUACGUUAGUGUUUUGACGUUACCGACAGAAUAAGCACCGGCUAACUCUGUGCCAGCAGCCGCGGUAAUACAGAGGGUGCAAGCGUUAAUCGGAAUUACUGGGCGUAAAGCGCGCGUAGGUGGUUUGUUAAGUUGGAUGUGAAAUCCCCGGGCUCAACCUGGGAACUGCAUUCAAAACUGACUGACUAGAGUAUGGUAGAGGGUGGUGGAAUUUCCUGUGUAGCGGUGAAAUGCGUAGAUAUAGGAAGGAACACCAGUGGCGAAGGCGACCACCUGGACUAAUACUGACACUGAGGUGCGAAAGCGUGGGGAGCAAACA
rnacentral:rRNA from 1 species